rnacentral:rRNA from 1 species
UACGGAGGUGGCAAGCGUUGCUCGGAAUUACUGGGCGUAAAGCGCGUGUAGGCGGCUCGGCAAGUCGGGUGUGAAAGCCCUGGGCUUAACCUAGGAAGUGCACUCGAAACUGCCAAGCUUGAGUUCUGGAGAGGAAGGCGGAAUUCUCGGUGUAGAGGCGAAAUUCGUAGAUAUCGAGAGGAACACCGGUGGCGAAGGCGGCCUUCUGGACAGCAACUGACGCUGAGACGCGAAAGCGUGGGGAGCAAACAGG